rnacentral:rRNA from 1 species
UCCAGACUCCUACGGGAGGCAGCAGUGAGGGAUAUUGGGCAAUGGGGGAAGCCCUGACCCAGCGACGCCGCGUGAGGGAAGACGGUCUUCGGAUUGUAAACCUCUGUCUUUGGGGACGAAAAAGGACGGUACCCAAGGAGGAAGCUCCGGCUAACUACGUGCCAGCAGCCGCGGUAAUACGUAGGGGGCAAGCGUUAUCCGGAUUUACUGGGUGUAAAGGGAGCGUAGACGGCCAGACAAGUCUGAAGUGAAAAUCCAGCGCUUAACGUUGGAAGUGCUUUGGAAACUGCCGGGCUAGAGUGCAGGAGGGGCAGGCGGAAUUCCUAGUGUAGCGGUGAAAUGCGUAGAUAUUAGGAGGAACACCAGUGGCGAAGGCGGCCUGCUGGACUGCAACUGACGUUGAGGCUCGAAGGCGUGGGGAGCAAACAGGAUUAGAUACCCUAGUAGC